CCGUGGUUAAACCUCCCUCCGACUCUGAUUUUAACCGCGUAUUUCUCUCUCGCUCGUUCGUUCGCUCGCUCGCUCGCUCGCUCGCUCUCCCAGAGCCCGACGGGCGCCCGGCGGUGCUGUGAGCUUUUCCCACCCUCUCCCUGCCCCGCCCACCUCCUCGCCUUCCUGAUUGGCGAGCGACCUACAACAGGAACAGCAGUCCUCGGGCUCCACUGAACUGGCAGUCAAGGCUCAUCCUCCCGCCUCCGGAAAGCGAACUUUAUUUUUAUUGGUGAAGGGACAUCUUCCUGUGCACCUGAUUGGGCAAGGACAGAGGGGUCAAGAAAAAACUCCCAGGCCUGUGUUGAAGGAAGCGGGAAAGGGAGAAGAGAGCGAUUCAAAACCCUCUCGAGGCUGAGCGUGGCGUCCAGAGUUCGGCCU
rnacentral:lncRNA from 1 species